rnacentral:rRNA from 1 species
AGUGAACGCUGGCGGCAGGCCUAACACAUGCAAGUCGAACGGCAGCACAAGAGAGCUUGCUCUCUGGGUGGCGAGUGGCGGACGGGUGAGGAAUGCAUCGGAAUCUGCCCAUUUGUGGGGGAUAACCUCGGGAAACCGGGACUAAUACCGCAUACGACCUACGGGUGAAAGCAGGGGAUCUUAGGACCUUGCGCCGAUGGAUGAGCCGAUGCCGGAUUAGCUAGUUGGAGGGGUAAAGGCCCACCAAGGCGACGAUCCGUAGCUGGUCUGAGAGGAUGAUCAGCCACACUGGGACUGAGACGCGGCCCAGACUCCUACGGGAGGCAGCAGUGGGGAAUAUUGGACAAUGGGCGCAAGCCUGAUCCAGCCAUGCCGCGUGUGUGAAGAAGGCCUUCGGGUUGUAAAGCACUUUUGUUGGGAAAGAAAAGCAGCCGGUUAAUACCCGGUUGUCAUGACGGUACCCAAAGAAUAAGCACCGGCUAACUUCGUG